CGUGGCCGCUAGAUCGGAGCGUCCUCCAGCGCAGGCAAGACUUGCUCGUUUAGAGUUAUGUUAUCUUCAAGAAAAGGACCCCAGAGCUCGCUUUCCACCACGUAAGGAUGCAAGUACAAGAAGAUGGCAGACUGCAAAUUGGAAAAGGGCCCUCCUCAGAACCUGAUCAUCUUGGCACCUUGAUCUCAGACUUCCAUCUUCCAGAACUGUGAGAAAUACAUUUCUUUUAUAAACACCCAGUCAAUGAUACUUUAUGAUAGCAGCUUGAAUGGACUAAGACUGGUGGUCUGGUUUAAAGUGAUGUGGUGGCAUCAGAAGUUUAAGGUGAGACUGGAUUCACAGAACUGGAAUCUGGGAUGCUGUUGACAGAACAAAUAUUUCUUGCACUUGGACAUUGUCAGCAGGUCGAUUCAGGAGACAGAUGAAAACUUUAUCACCGGGCAGCCUGGAUGAACGCCACAACUUUGGACUCUUUCACAUAAAGGAAAGAUAAGAGCAUCCACUAUUUCUACACCUGGCUGGCAGAGUGAGAUCUCACCAAAGAUUUGUCACUUGGCUGACCUCCAAGCCUGCCCAUCAGCCAGAAAUCAAGAAGCCUGCAAGUCACAGCUGGAUCCAUUGGUGGAACAAAGCUCAGCUGCCAAUUUCAGAAGAGAAAGCACUUUCUGCUCAGGAGUCACAUUUAAUUAUGCAGAAUUUAUGUAUUUUAUUUUUUUGUAACUCUUGCAUAUUAAACCAUAAAUGUGAGCUAAUGAAAGAUAAUAUGUGUGAAACACCUAGCAGGGUUAGGCAGAGAGGAGACACAAAAUGAAAUCCAUCUUGUUUGUUCCUCUUGUA